ensembl:snRNA U6 U6 spliceosomal RNA
GUGCUCGCUUCGGCAGCACAUAUACUAAAAUUGGAACGAUACAGAGAAGAUUAGCAUGGCCCCUGCGCAAGGAUGAUACAAGAAUGUCCAAGAGACUCAGGCAGUUUUU